AACAUUGUAUAAAGUCUGGGGUAGAGUCAGAUAGUUUUGGUUCGACUACUUUAUCUGCUAAGGAUAAGAUAGGGAUAGUUACGAACCCAGAGCUCUGCAAAUGUAUAGACUCCUCUGUCAGGAAUAAAUUGGUUGGUUUUUAUACAUUGUUGUGAACGAAGUUCUUUCACGAAAACGAACACGCUUGGAACCACGGGAGUUAGGAGAUUUUAAAACACAGGUUCCUUUAAAUGGUGACCCCGACAUGAUCCUGAAAGGACAUUAGAUAAAAAGACAGAGGAGCGGACAGGAAUUCAGUUGAACUGCAAAUCUCCCCGGUGCACCGAAAUAAAAAAGGUGAGCAGAAGCCUGUUUGAUAAUAUCACGAAUUCUGCACAUUGGAAAUUUCGAAAUUUGGGAGACUUGUGGUACAGUUGUUUUGUUGUCAAUAGUUAAUAAGACGUUGUGUAGUUAAAAUUGCAUAAUUAAAAGUCAGGGUAACGGAGGACCUGACGUCAGGGUAACAAGGUACCUGACAAAACCAGGAUAACAGAAAAUCCUGGGAUAAAGUAGGGUAACAAGGUACCUACUUGUCUCGUCGUAGACUGACUUGAAAUCGGACGUGGUUUCAAAUUGUAACGUUUCGGUAGACGUUGGGGAUUUUGGGACCCCCAAAAACCGAUUUAGAAUAAGAUGAGUGUGCCACCAAAACUCGGGGUUGUGAAUUGGACAGUCGAGGUAAUGAAUGUGAUAUGUGUCGGAUUUGUGGAUUGAAAGAGAAAGGCAGAAAAAGAAACAAACAGGAUUAAGAAGUGUGUGGGCAAAAUGGAAAAGAAAAAGGAAUGUAAGUUGUUUCACGUAACAGAGAGGUUAUUCUGAAAGGAAAAGAAAUGAAGGAGAAGUUGGUCACUGCAGGGUGGAUGGAGAAAAUGAAUUUGAAUAAAAAAAUAGAAGAGAAUGAAGAAUGGAGGAGAAAAAUUCAUGAGAUUUGUGUGGUGUCAACGGCAAUGGCAGCAGUUCGGGGCGAAAAAGCGCAUCAAAUUGCCCCACUAAAUUCGAUUAGGGACCAUUUAGCGGCCCCCCUGUAACUUCCCUCUAUCCGGUUUUGCCGGUAGAGCGAGCCGCUAAGAUAACACACCAAGACAAUGGGGAAGUAAAGCUCCCAUUGACACCCCCAGCCUAUACUACUCUUAACCAAUCUGACAAACGGCAACCUAAGCACCCACUACAAGCACCCGUAUACCAAAUAGUGGGUGAAGUGAAUCUGUUGGGAACAUCAGCAAUACCUGAAUUGACCCAACAGCAGCGUACUACCAUGGAAGAAAUAGUGACUGCUAACUGACAAGGUACAGUAGAAUAUCAAAAUUCUAACUGCCAAACCUUGAGACAGGAGGAACCAUCCCCGAGAGGAGACGAGCCUGCAGACAAAGGAGCGGGCAACAUCGCCACACCAGGGGGUUCCGCCCGAAUAACCGACAGACAGGUUUGGCAAACCACGUUGCAGGAAGAGUUGACUUCUAGUAUUAAUAAGAGAGGUUCCUGCUUGAGGGAACCGAGACAUAGUGACGAGUCUGACUCUGAAUUUGAUGAGGAUGUGGAGGGGGAGCUUCCCCCACCGCCCCCUCCGACAGACAAAGACUUGACAGCAGAAGACCAAAGAAGGCAACAAGCUAAGCUAAUGACUUCUGGGGAAGCACGUAAAUGGAUGGAAAAGGCUUAUCAGCCCCCAUGCCGGGACCGAGUCAAGACGAGGUCCCAGACUGGAACCAGAAUUAAGAGUCCGACGAGAUAUACCCCGACUCCCGAAACGACUGCCCGGACUGGCAGCUGGCGGUGAAAUGUGGAUUCAAGCGCUGAAGAGGUUGACGGACGGCAUGAGCCUGGCAUGUGGUGACAUAGUGAGAUUGAUACGCGCCUGUUGCAUUUCGGUUCACCAAUCGGAUGAUAUUUUGACACGGUCGGGUCUGAAUAAUGUCGAACCUGAAAUUUUAUUUGCCCCUUUUGCUCCUAUAGUAUUUGCUGUGUGAUAUUUUUAUAUGGGUAACUCCGAAUAAAAAUGUUGAUUUCAUAAAUUACCAUCAUGACCAAAUUCAAAGAUUGGUGAAUUUCACCUCCCAACUAGCGGAGGGCAUCCAUGAGCAACUAUCGGCUACAUCUCUCAUGGCAUUCCAAAAUAGGUUGGUCCUUGAUAGUAUGUUAGCGGAAGAAGGGAGUGCCUGCUCUCGAAUUAAAGGACAUUGUUGUACAAUUAUCCCCAAUAAUACGGCGCCGAACGGAAAGAUCACCAGAGCCAUGAAAGGUUUGCAAGCCAUGUCUGUUAAACUUAAAUCAAUGUCUGGAGUGGAGGACGACCCAUUCUAUAGCCUGCUUAAUAGGAUGUUUGGGAAAUGGAGAGGUUUCAUACUGACUUUGGCAACUACCAUCAUAAUUGUCAUGGCUGUGCUUGCUAUUUGUGGAUGUUGUAUUAUCCCUUGUCUCAGGAACCUGGUUCUCAGAAUUGUCCUCAAGGCCUUUGUGGGUAAGGACCCCUACGGCCAAUAUCAGCUGCUGUCCCUGGAUGAGGACAGGGUGGCCAUGGAAUCGCUCGCUCCAUUGAACGAUACCGGUGUAUCCUGUCUUUAAAUUUUUAAAUUUACAUUUUUUGUUUUGCUGUGCUUAGAUUAGGUUAAUUGAAUAUUGUAGUGAAAAAGGUAGUAGGUAUAGGGGUUGUUGAUCUUCUGAUUAUCAGAAGAUCAACUUGGGGGAUUGAAGGGAAUAUAGAAUACUAUAUUCUAAUAUGUAAUUCUAACUAGUUUGGAAGAGAAUGUGUAUUGGAGUAUAGGGGUAUUUGGCCCCAUCGGGGGGUAUUUGGAGACAGAUGUCAAGGAAGAAAGGAACUGCGGGGAGCCACUAUAAACAUUGAAUGCAGGAGACAUCGGCAGGUGACACCUGGAGGCGACGUCUGGAGCCAGAUCAGAUGGUCCGCAGAACAACGAUGACGUCAGAUUACGGACUAAUCAGACGACAGCGAUUCCAUACUGGCCUGUUUGAAACAUUGUAUAAAGUCUGAGGUAGCGUCAGAUAGUUUUGGUUCGACUACUUUAUCUGCUAAGGAUAAGAUAGGGAUAGUUACGAACCCAGAGCUCUGCAAAUGUAUAGACUCCUCUGUCAGGAAUAAAUUGGUUGGUUUUUAUA